AACGAACGCUGGCGGCGUGGAUAAGACAUGCAAGUCGAACGAGAGAAUUGGAGUAGUAAUACUGUGAUUUUCUAGUGGCGCACGGGUGAGUAACACGUGAGUAAUCUGCCUUGAAGUGGGGGAUAGCCCUUGGAAACGAGGAUUAAUACCGCAUGUGGUUGAAAGACCAAAGGUGCCGCAAGGUACCGCUUUAAGAUGAGCUCCCGACCUAUUAGCUAGUUGGUGGGGUAAAGGCCCACCAAGGCGAUGACGGGUAGCCGGUCUGAGAGGAUGUCCGGCCACACUGGAACUGAGACACGGUCCAGACACCUACGGGUGGCAGCAGUCGAGAAUCAUUCACAAUGGGGGAAACCCUGAUGGUGCGACGCCGCGUGGGGGAAGAAGGUCUUCGGAUUGUAAACCCCUGUCAUGAGAGAGCAAGACUUGUACAUGAAGAAUGUACAAGUUUGAUAGUAUCUCAAGAGGAAGAGACGGCUAACUCUGUGCCAGCAGCCGCGGUAAAAC
rnacentral:rRNA from 1 species